AUGCAGCCCGCUGUCUUCGAGGGCCUGCUCCAUUUUAUAUACACUGAUUCACUGCCCGCCAUGGAUGAUCUUAGCCAAGAUGACUACCAGGAGACUAUCAGGCAUUUGCUUGUCGCGGCGGAUCGGUAUGCCAUGGAGAGGCUCAAGAUUAUAUGUGAAAGCAUCCUCUGUGAAAACAUUGAUGCCAAGACCGUGGUGACUACAUUCGCUUGGGCUUAUCAGCAUCACUGUGACAGGUUGAAUGAUGCCUGCAUUCAGUUUAUUGCCUCUUUCAGUACAAUGGAAACCAUUGACAUGAUGGCAAGCCAAGGGUAUGCUGAGCUCAAAGCAAAAUGUCCUUUGGCUUUAGUUGAACUGUUGCAGAAGACAACUAGGCUCGUCGAAUCAAAGUCUUCAGCUCAUUUUGGUGGUCUAGUCACAUAA
rnacentral:rRNA from 1 species